GAUCAUGGCUNAGGAUGAACGCUAGCGGCAGGCUUAACACAUGGCAAGUCGAGGGUAUUGGUUUUCGGGCCAAGAGACCGGCGCACGGGUGCGUAACGCGUAUGCAAUCUACCUUUUGCAGAGGGAUAGCCCAGAGAAAUUUGGAUUAAUACCUCAUAGUAUAGUACUUUGGCAUCAAGGAACUAUUAAAGUCACAACGGCAAAAGAUGAGCAUGCGUCCCAUUAGCUAGUUGGUAAGGUAACGGCUUACCAAAGCUACGAUGGGUAGGGGUCCUGAGAGGGAGAUCCCCCCACACUGGUACUGAGACACGGACCAGACUCCUACGGGAGGCAGCAGUGAGGAAUAUUGGACAAUGGGCGCAAGCCUGAUCCAGCCAUGCCGCGUGCAGGAUGACGGUCCUAUGGAUUGUAAACUGCUUUUAUACAGGAAGAAACACUCCGACGUGUCGGAGCUUGACGGUACUGUAAGAAUAAGGAUCGGCUAACUCCGUG
rnacentral:rRNA from 1 species